rnacentral:rRNA from 1 species
GACGAACGCUGGCGGCGUGCUUAACACAUGCCAGUCGAACGGAAAGGCCCUGCUUUUGUGGGGUGCUCGAGUGGCGAACGGGUGAGUAACACGUGAGUAACCUGCCCUUGACUUUGGGAUAACUUCAGGAAACUGGGGCCAAUACCGGAUAGGAGCUCCUGCUGCAUGGUGGGGGUUGGAAAGUUUCGGCGGUUGGGGAUGGACUCGCGGCUUAUCAGCUUGUUGGUGGGGUAGUGGCUUACCAAGGCUUUGACGGGUAGCCGGCCUGAGAGGGUGACCGGCCACAUUGGGACUGAGAUACGGACCAGACUCCUACGGGAGGCAGCAGUGGGGAAUAUUGCACAAUGGGCGGAAGCCUGAUGCAGCAACGCCGCGUGCGGGAUGACGGCCUUCGGGUUGUAAACCGCUUUCGCCUGUGACGAAGCGUGAGUGACGGUAAUGGGUAAAGAAGCACCGGCUAACUACGUG